rfam:Brassica napus, WGS project CCCW01000000 data, contig: 7800
AAUCCAUGGUGAGGGAAUUCUCUGCGGUAGUCAUUGAAGAGCUCCCAUGCAUCCAAGAAAGACUCAUCAGUGAGCUGUCUGAAUGAGGUGAUCUUGUUUCUCAAUGC